rnacentral:rRNA from 1 species
GACGUAGGGUCGCGAGCGUUGUCCGGAUUUAUUGGGCGUAAAGAGCUCGUAGGCGGCUUGUCGCGUCGACUGUGAAAUCCCGCGGCUCAACUGCGGGUCUGCAGUCGAUACGGGCAGGCUAGAGUUCGGUAGGGGAGACUGGAAUUCCUGGUGUAGCGGUGAAAUGCGCAGAUAUCAGGAGGAACACCGAUGGCGAAGGCAGGUCUCUGGGCCGAUACUGACGCUGAGGAGCGAAAGCGUGGGGAGCGAACAGG